UGCAACUCGACUGCGUGAAGGUGGAGUCGCUAGUAAUCGCGGAUCAGCAACGCCGCGGUGAAUGCGUUCCCGGGCCUUGUACACACCGCCCGUCAAGUCAUGAAAGUGGGCAGCACCCGAAGACGGUGGCCUAACCCUUGUGGGGGGAGCCGUCUAAGGUGAGGCUCGUGAUUGGGACUAAGUCGUAACAAGGUAGC
rnacentral:rRNA from 1 species